ensembl:lncRNA
UCUGCCCUGGGGAGCAGACCAUGACACCCUUGCUAUUAAAUAGUGCACAUAAUUAUCCAUCCACGGGACAGUGCACAUCAGCAAUGCGGGUUUUGAUGACAUGUCCACAGGAUCGUCUGCGAGCCGCGACACACGUCCCAUGCCCCCGCGCAAACCACUGCUCCCCUUUCUCCAAGCAGACAUUAAAUCACUGAUUCCCAGUCUAAUCAAAUGUCGUGGUCAAUUUUUUGAUAGGCUACAAUCAUUCGUAGCCUAGAAAUGAUCGUAUAUCAUUUAAAUGUCAGAUUAUAUGCCAAUUAUGUUGGUUUUUUUGGGCAUAUUUUGGGGGAGAAACGUGAACUUAUUUAGAACCCCUUUGAGGCGCAUCGAAUCAUAGGCCUACAAUAUUGCACCAUUCAAAGGCUCGUUUUAUAAACACCGUAUCAUCACACCGCCUAUCCAUUAUUAAUAAGGGGUCUGACCAGCGCACCAUCACUGCAGGGAGUGGCAAGGUUACUACGUAUUCCACCUAAUUCAUAAUAAACAAAGAAAUACGUUACAUUCAUCCCGUUCUACAUCAUAGCGGUUUCUGAUUCGAAACGAGUGACAUUGACAUUACGCACAUCACUAUUAUAUUUAUAUUGAUUAUAGCGGCACCUUACCUCUCUCCGGCAUGUUGUAUUUGAAGUCCAGAAUUAAAAACUAGCUCCUCCCCUCGAACAGCACCAACCCUCGCACUGUUCUACAACAUAUCUGGACAUCAAAGCUUAGCUACAAUACGUCGCAAGAUCCCACCGUUUGAGAAAUGGUUUUAGCGAAUGACGUUGCGGAGGAGAUCCCCGUUGUAAGAGCGCGCUUCCCGGUUAUUCCAGUAGCAGCAGGCGUGUUGGGGAGGGAGGGGUGCAACGAUCCGCCUGCCUGCAGGAGGCACACUGCAGUGACAUUGACCAAUGGGAUAACGCAGAAAAGAGUCCCUCUCCGAUUCGUAAAUAUCUCAGCCUCAUCAAAUAUUACAGCGCCAGUCUCAUUCAUUCAGUUUCAAAUGGGUUAAAAUCUUGAGAUGAAAUAAUCAACAAUUUCAGAAAUGUAGGCUAACAUUCUGCAAUCAACCUGACAGGCUAUAAGGCUUAAAUGUUGUUUAACUAGGGAAGUCAGAGAAUACAUCUAAAUGAGAAGAUCCUGCCAUGGAAAAGACGACUGGAUGGACAGGAAGUGGAAAGGAGGGGAAAUAACUCCCACCAUGCAGCAGGACACCUUCAGCUCUUCAGAUGGCCAAGGAAGUAGCACAGAACAUCCCCAACAUCCCCUUCCCAAAUUGAUAUAGAACCUUCACAAAAACACAUGGAGCAACAGUGAAAAGAAAUGGCUGAGGAUACACUAAAAAUGUCUGAGUUCAACAAAGCCAACAACUGCUUCAUGUGUGCCACUGAUAAAGAACCUGGAUGUGGCCCAAAGACUGACUGGACUGAAUGUUUUGCCAACGGUGGUUCCAUGUGCUGUGCCUAGGAAUGAAGACAAGAGUUCAGAGUGAAGAACACAAACUGGAAGUGCAGUCUGUUGUUUAAAAUGUAUGCUAUACCCCAUCCACACUGAAGAGGCUCUGACAUGUACAUCAACCAGGGAUAAAGAGGAGGUUAACACUG